AUGGCAUCCCACUCUGAACUCCAUGUUCUCCUCAGACCUUGAAAGCUAAGCAGAGCAGGGCCUGAUUAGGACUUGGAUGGGAGACCGCCUAGUAAUAGUAGGUGCUGUU
rnacentral:rRNA from 1 species